rnacentral:rRNA from 1 species
CCUACGGGAGGCAGCAGUAGGGAAUUUUCCGCAAUGGGCGAAAGCCUGACGGAGCAAUACCGCGUGAGGGAUGACGGCCUGUGGGUUGUAAACCUCUUUUCUCAAGGAAGAAGUUCUGACGGUACUUGAGGAAUAAGCAUCGGCUAACUCUGUGCCAGCAGCCGCGGUAAUACAGAGGAUGCAAGCGUUAUCCGGAAUUACUGGGCAUAAAGCGUCUGUAGGUGGUUUGGUAAGUCUGCUGUUAAAGACUAGGGCUCAACCCCAGAAAAGCAGUGGAAACUGCCAGACUUGAGUGUGGUAGAGGUAGAAGGAAUUCCUAGUGUAGCGGUGAAAUGCGUAGAUAUUAGGAAGAACACCAAUGGCGAAGGCAUUCUACUGGACCAUAACUGACACUGAGAGACGACAGCUAGGGGAGCAAAUGGGAUUAGAUACCCCAGUAGUCCUAGCCGUAAACGAUGGAUACUAGAUGUUGCACGUAUUAACCCGUGCAGUAUCGUAGUCUAGUACGUUAAGUAUCCGCCGUCGGUAGGUACGCGUCGCGAGAGUAGUAACGUUAAACGGUAAAGUUAGUACGGCGUGAGACGUAGCCGAACGGACGACGACGAGGGAGGUAGG